rnacentral:rRNA from 1 species
AUUGAACGCUGGCGGCAUGCUUUACACAUGCAAGUCGAACGGUAACAGGUCUUCGGAUGCUGACGAGUGGCGAACGGGUGAGUAAUGUAUCGGAACGUGCCCAGUAGUGGGGGAUAACUACUCGAAAGAGUGGCUAAUACCGCAUGAGAACUGAGGUUGAAAGCGGGGGACCUUCGGGCCUCGCGCUACUGGAGCGGCCGAUAUCAGAUUAGGUAGUUGGUGGGGUAAAGGCCUACCAAGCCGACGAUCUGUAGCUGGUCUGAGAGGACGACCAGCCACACUGGAACUGAGACACGGUCCAGACUCCUACGGGAGGCAGCAGUGGGGAAUUUUGGACAAUGGGGGGCAACCCUGAUCCAGCCAUGCCGCGUGCGGGAAGAAGGCCUUCGGGUUGUAAACCGCUUUGGCAGGAACGAAACGGUGCGGGCGGAAUAACCUGUGCUAAUGACGGUACCUGCAGAAUAAGCACCGGCUAACUACGUG